CGCGGUAGCUGACUGAACUGAAAAUAAAAGUCGAGCGGAUGAUGGGAGCUUGCUCCUGGAUUCAGCGGCGGACGGGUGAGUAAUGCCUAGGAAUCUGCCUGGUAGUGGGGGAUAACGUCCGGAAACGGGCGCUAAUACCGCAUACGUCCUGAGGGAGAAAGUGGGGGAUCUUCGGACCUCACGCUAUCAGAUGAGCCUAGGUCGGAUUAGCUAGUUGGUGGGGUAAAGGCCUACCAAGGCGACGAUCCGUAACUGGUCUGAGAGGAUGAUCAGUCACACUGGAACUGAGACACGGUCCAGACUCCUACGGGAGGCAGCAGUGGGGAAUAUUGGACAAUGGGCGAAAGCCUGAUCCAGCCAUGCCGCGUGUGUGAAGAAGGUCUUCGGAUUGUAAAGCACUUUAAGUUGGGAGGAAGGGCAGUAAGUUAAUACCUUGCUGUUUUGACGUUACCAACAGAAUAAGCACCGGCUAACUUCGUGCCAGCAGCCGCGGUAAUACGAAGGGUGCAAGCGUUAAUCGGAAUUACUGGGCGUAAAGCGCGCGUAGGUGGUUCAGCAAGUUGGAUGUGAAAUCCCCGGGCUCAACCUGGGAACUGCAUCCAAAACUACUGAGCUAGAGUACGGUAGAGGGUGGUGGAAAUUUCCUGUGUAGCGGUGAAAUGCGUAGAUAUAGGAAGGAACACCAGUGGCGAAAGGCGACCACCUGGACUGAUACUGACACUGAGGUGCGAAAGCGUGGGGAGCAAACAGGA
rnacentral:rRNA from 1 species